UACGUAGGUGGCAAGCGUUAUCCGGAAUUAUUGGGCGUAAAGAGCGCGCAGGUGGUUUAUUAAGUCCGGUGUAAAAGGCAGUGGCUCAACCAUUGUAUGCAUUGGAAACUGGUAGACUUGAGUGCAGGAGAGGAGAGUGGAAUUCCAUGUGUAGCGGUGAAAUGCGUAGAUAUAUGGAGGAACACCGGUGGCGAAAGCGGCUCUCUGGCCUGUAACUGACACUGAGGCUCGAAAGCGUGGGGAGCAAACAGG
rnacentral:rRNA from 1 species